GACGAACGCUGGCGGCGUGCUUAAUACAUGCAAGUCGAACGGAAAGGCCCUGAGUUUGUGGGGCGCACGAGUGGGGAAAGGGUGAGUAACACGUGAGUAAACUGUACUUGAAAUUGGGAUAAAAUUAGGAAAAUGGGGAUAAUAUAGGAUAGGAGAUCCUGCUGCACGGGGGGGGUUGGAAAGUUUCGGCUGUUUGGGAUGGAAUAGCGGCUUAUCAGCUUGUUGGUGGAGUAGUGGAAUACCAAGGCUUUGAAGGAUAGCCGGCCUUAGAGGGUGGCCAGCCACAUUGGUACUAAGGUACGGCCCAGUCGCCUACCGGCGGCAACAGUGGAGAGUAUUACGCAAUGGGCGCAAGCCUGUUGCAGCAACCCCGCGUUCGGAAUGACGUCCUUCUAGUUAUAAACCUCUGUCUCCUUUGACGUACCGUUAUUGACGGUAAUGAGUAAAAAAGCACCGGCUAACUACGUG
rnacentral:rRNA from 1 species